GACGGGGGCGGCAAGAGUUGUCCGGAAUUAUUGGGCGUAAAGAGCGCGUAGGUGGUUUGUCAAGUCAUUUGUGAAAACUUUAGGCUUAACUUAAAGAUUGCAAGUGAUACUGGCAUACUUGAGCACAGCAGAGGAAAGUGGAAUUCCUGGUGUAGCGGUGAAAUGCGCAGAUAUCAGGAAGAACACCAGUGGCGAAGGCGGCUUUCUGGCCUGUUGCUGACGCUGAGGCGCGAAAGCUAGGGGAGCAAACAGG
rnacentral:rRNA from 1 species